UGCUUGUCUAGUUAAUUUUAUAAUUAUAUUAAAUUAUACAGUCCGCAUAAGUACUUAACACGGCUAGUAAAUCUGUGUAAACACCACGUACAUUUUGCUGUUAUGCUCCUUAUCAUGAUUACUAGCCAGGUCAAAUUUUGCCUCUUUUCCGAAACCUCUCUUGAACACUCUUCCUCUUUGGUACUGCAGUAGUACUGCCACUCAGUACCCUAACACCUGACACUUAAAAUGUAUUUCACUCACAUCAGAACCCUGAUAUCUGGCACCUAGUGGUGCUCGGGAAAUGUUUGCUGAAUGCAACUGUGUUAUACCAGUUCUGUUUAGGGGAAGUAACUCUGUGUUCUGUUUAGGGGAAGUAACUCUGGCUAGUUAUUUGUGUAGCUACUACUCAAGAGGAAUGGAGGGACAAGAUCAGUGUGGCCCCCAAGCUUCCGUCUUCUUUGUCUCCUGGCUUCUUUGCCAUUGUGUCACCUCCCCAUCCUCAGGCUGUUAUUCUUAUGGCCACUUCUGUAAAGGAAGGUCAUAGCAAAACAGCUUCAGCCUUGCCUUAGCUUGCCUCCUGAAUCCUCAGCUUUGCCGACCUGAAUUCUAAUCACUGCUUUUUAGGGGUCAGAGGAAUGGAGGCAAACAAACAGAUCAGUAUGGGGUUGGGAGGAGUCAAAGCUGUAUUUGCAAGGUUACUCCAUUUUGACAGCAACAGGACUGGUAUUUGAAGGCAAUUUUUUUUUUUUGAGACGGAGUCUUGCUCUCUUGCCCAGGCUGGAGUGCAGUGGUGCAAUCUUGGCUCACUGCAAGCUCCGCCUCCCAGGUUCAUGCCAUUCUUCUGCCUCAGCCUCCCGAGUAGCUGGGACUACAGGCGUGUGCCACCAGGCCGGCUAAUUUUUGUAUUUUUUUUUUUUUUAGUAGAGACGGGGUUUCACCUUGUUAGUCAGGAUGGUCUUGAUCUCCUGACCUCGUGAUCCGCCCACCUCGGCCUUCCAAAGUGCUGGGAUUACAGGCGUGAGCCACCACGCCCAGCCUGAAGGCAACUUUUAUACAGUAUUAUGCUAUCCUUUGGUUUACAUGUUUCUGCUAGAUGGGAUUGCUAUGCCAACACACCCCAUGUGUGGAACUGUGUCUCAGUUCCCACCCUCAGCUCUACUAAGGUGUCCCCCUUGCACUUUCCUCCCUCCAGUCCCUUGGGCUAUUGGCACUGUCACUCAGGUGUCCAGGCAGCUGACAUGGGUGGUAGAAGCAGGCAUUAUCCCGUUGUCUCAGUUGGGCUUAUACAGGGACUCCUGCUUGGUCUUUGGGAGUUCAGAUGCUAAAAAGUCCCCUGUCAAGAAUAAGGAGGGCCUUGACACUGAAGGGAUGAGGCAGAUUUUGCUCCAGAUGGUCUUUGGAAAAAGGAAUUAGUACAGCCAGAUUGGAAAGUUUUAGUGAUUGAGAAAGAAGUACUGAUUUUGAUGAAUCAUUUCCACAGUCCCUGCCCUAUUUCUUGGUCUUGUCUCUGUUUGGAGGACUGAGUGAAAGUGUCCAUCCAGCUUCCUCCCAUCGGUGCUAACAAACUGCACUGGCUGGAUUUUGGUACCACAUUCCCACGGUGGUAUGUCUUAGGUCUCAGGCCAGCGUCCAAAGAGACCAUAUAUUAUUGUAAUUGACUAUUUUAUUGAGACCCUUAUAAUCAUACCUACUUUACCCAGUAAAGCAAUUCUUGCUUUCUUAUUCACAAGCUUUUUCCGGAUAGUAGGUGAUUACAAUAUGUCCCUCAUCUAAGCCUCCACCUAUGAUUUCCAAACAGUAAAGUUCCUCAGCUGAAUAUUAGUUAUCCCUCUUGUUUUUUUUAAAAGUGACAUUAGGAAAUGGCUAAACAUUUUAUUGCCUUCUUAUUGUCAUCUGCUUUUCCUCCACCCACCUCCUGGGUAGGUACAACAGAGCUUGCAGG
rnacentral:lncRNA from 10 species